rnacentral:rRNA from 1 species
ACGGAAGGCGGCAGCUAAGAAUAUUCCGCAAUGGACGAAAGUCUGACGGAGCGACGCCGCGUGGAUGAUGAAGGUCGGAAGAUUGUAAAAUCCUUUUGAAUGAGACGAAUAAGCAGAGCAGGGAAUGGCUUUGUGGUGACGGUAUCAUUUGAAUAAGCAACGGCUAAUUACGUGCCAGCAGCCGCGGUAACACGUAAGUUGCGAGCGUUGUUCGGAAUUAUUGGGCGUAAAGGGCAUGUAGGCGGUUCUGCAAGCUUGGUGUGAAAUCCCGGAGCUUAACUCCGGAACUGCAUUGAGAACUGCAGGACUAGAAUUACUGAAGGGCAACUGGAAUUCCAAGUGUAGGGGUGAAAUCUGUAGAUAUUUGGAAGAACACCAAUGGCGAAGGCAAGUUGCUGGCAGAUAAUUGACGCUGAGGUGCGAAGGUGCGGGGAGCAAACAGGAUUAGAUACCCUGGUA